rnacentral:rRNA from 1 species
GAUGAACGCUGGCGGCGUGCCUAAUACAUGCAAGUCGAGCGAACAGACGAGGAGCUUGCUCCUCUGACGUUAGCGGCGGACGGGUGAGUAACACGUGGAUAACCUACCUAUAAGACUGGGAUAACUUCGGGAAACCGGAGCUAAUACCGGAUAAUAUAUUGAACCGCAUGGUUCAAUAGUGAAAGACGGUUUUGCUGUCACUUAUAGAUGGAUCCGCGCCGCAUUAGCUAGUUGGUAAGGUAACGGCUUACCAAGGCAACGAUGCGUAGCCGACCUGAGAGGGUGAUCGGCCACACUAGAACUGAGACACGGUCCUGACUCCUACGGGAGGCAGCAGUAGGGAAUCUUCCGCAAUGGGCGAAAGCCUGACGGAGCAACGCCGCGUGAGUGAUGAAGGUCUUCGGAUCGUAAAACUCUGUUAUUAGGGAAGAACAAAUGUGUAAGUAACUAUGCACGUCUUGACGGUACCUAAUCAGAAAGCCACGGCUAAAUACGUG